AAUUGCACGGUGAGCAUAGAGUGAACUAUUAUUUCACCUUUCACUAAAGAAUACCAUGUGCUCACUGCAAAUAGUGGCAUACGCCAAUUUUUGGAGGGUUCGCCUUUAAAAUAUGGGCU